rnacentral:rRNA from 1 species
UACGUAGGGUGCAAGCGUUGUUCGGAAUUAUUGGGCGUAAAGCGUGCGUAGGUUGUCUGAUAAGUCAGGCGUGAAAUCCCACGGCUUAACCGUGGAAUUGCGCUUGAAACUAUCAGGCUGGAGGAAGGAAGAGGUAAGUGGAAUUCCUAGUGUAGAGGUGAAAUUCGUAGAUAUUAGGAGGAACACUCGUGGCGAAGGCGGCUUACUGGUCCUUUCCUGACGCUGAGGCACGAAAGCGUGGGUAGCAAACAGG